rnacentral:misc_RNA from 1 species
GACAGAGGGUGCAAGCGUUGUUCGGAAUCAUUGGGCGUAAAGCGCGCGUAGGCGGCUGGGCAAGUCGGAUGUGAAAGCCCAUGGCUUAACCAUGGCAGUGCAUCCGAAACUGCUCAGCUUGAGUCCCGGAGAGGGUGGUGGAAUUCCCAGUGUAGAGGUGAAAUUCGUAGAUAUUGGGAGGAACACCAGUGGCGAAGGCGACCACCUGGACUGAUACUGACACUGAGGUGCGAAAGCGUGGGGAGCAAACAGG